rnacentral:tRNA from 1 species
AGUCCCAUCGUCUAGCGGGCUAGGACAUCGGCCUCUCACGCCGAAGACGCUGGGUUAACACCCGUUGGGACCACCA